AUCCAUCUGACGAAUCCCAAACAGGACGAAACACCUGUCUUAUAU
rnacentral:hammerhead_ribozyme from 1 species